AAAGUGGGCCAGACAGUCGCCGGUAGUUGAGUUAUUGCAACUUACUGCGGGAGGAAAGUCCGGACUUCAUAGGGCGCAGUGCUGGCUAACGGCCAGGCAGAGGAGGCGAAAGCCAAAGCUGACGGAAAGUGCAACAGAGAGUAGACCGCCGAUGGCCCUGCCGGGCAGGGAUCAGGUAAGGGUGAAAGGGUACGGCAAGAGCGUACCGCAGCGGUGGUGACACCGCUGGCAUGGCAAACCCCACUGGAAGCAACCUCAAAUAGGCAGGCAAGAGUUUAGACUCAGCGCGUGGCCCAUGCGUUGUCUGCGGGUAGAGGGCUUGAGCACUUCAGUAAUGAAGUGCCUAGAGAAAUGACUGUCGGGCAGGGCGAGAUAAUACUCGCCUUGUCGCACAGAAUCCGGCUUAUAGGCCCGCUUUGCGC
rnacentral:RNase_P_RNA from 1 species